rnacentral:rRNA from 1 species
AAUAUUGGACAAUGGGCGAAAGCCUGAUCCAGCCAUGCCGCGUGUGUGAAGAAGGUCUUCGGAUUGUAAAGCACUUUAGGUUGGGAGGAAGGGCUUUAGGUUAAUACCCUGAUGUUUUGCUGUUACCAACAGAAUAGGCACCGGCUAACUUCGUGCAAUCAGCCGCGGUAAUACGGAGGGUGCAAGCGUUAAUCGGAAUUACUGGGCGUAAAGCGCGCGUAGGUGGUUCAGUAAGAUGGGUGUGAAAUCCCCGGGCUUAACCUGGGAACUGCUUUCAUAACUGCUGAGCUAGAAUACGGUAGAGGGUAGUGGAAUUUCCUGAGUAGCGGUGAAAUGCGUAGAUAUAGAAAGGAACACCAGUGGCGAAGGCGACUACCUGGAAUGAUACUGACACUGAGGUGCGAAAGCGUGGGGAGCAAAC